CACGGGGGGAGCAAGCGUUGUUCGGAAUCACUGGGCGUAAAGGGCGUGUAGGCGGUUAGGUAAGUGGAACGUGAAAUCCCUCGGCUCACCCGAGGACCUGCGUCCCAAACUGCCUAGCUUGAGUAUGGGAGAGGAUGAGGGAAUUCCUGGUGUAGCGGUGAAAUGCGCAGAUAUCAGGAAGAACACCGAUGGCGAAAGCAGCUCUCUGGGACGGUACUGACGCUGAGGCGCGAAAGCGUGGGGAGCGAACAGG
rnacentral:rRNA from 1 species